AAGUGGUUAUAAGAGAAAAUCUGUAACAAAGGCUAACAAGCAAAUGAAACAGCGAGGAUAUUGAAAAUCAAGAGAUGUAUGUAUAAAAUAGACAUCAUCCAAGCUACCACAGGAUUUCCGAAUUUGAAGCAUUUGGAUGAUGUAGCCCGAUGCCUCCCAGUUCACUGCAACACAGAAAAUUUAAGAACAGAAG